rnacentral:rRNA from 1 species
UACAGAGGUCUCAAGCGUUGUUCGGAUUCAUUGGGCGUAAAGGGUGCGUAGGCGGCGCGGUAAGUCGGGUGUGAAACCUCCAGGCUCAACCUGGAGUCGCCACUCGAUACUGCUGUGACUAGAGUCCGGUAGGGGAGCGUGGAAUUCCUGGUGUAGCGGUGAAAUGCGCAGAUAUCAGGAGGAACACCGGUGGUGUAAACGGCUUUCUGGACCAUAACUGACGCUGAGGCACGAAAGCGUGGGUAGCAAACAGG